rnacentral:rRNA from 1 species
UACAUGGGGUGCAAACGUUGCUCGGAAUCAUUGGGCGUAAAGCGCGCGUAGGCGGUUGCUUAAGUCGGAUGUGAAAGCCCUCGGCUUAACUGAGGAAGUGCAUCCGAAACUGAGCAGCUAGAGUACGAAAGAGGGUCGCGGAAUUCCCGGUGUAGAGGUGAAAUUCGUAGAUAUCGGGAGGAACACCGGUGGCGAAGGCGGCGACCUGGGUCGAGACUGACGCUGAGGCACGAAAGCGUGGGGAGCAAACAGG